rnacentral:rRNA from 1 species
AGAGUUUGAUUAUGGCUCAGAUUGAACGCUGGCGGCAGGCCUAACACAUGCAAGUCGAGCGGCAGCGGGAAAGUAGCUUGCUACUUUUGCCGGCGAGCGGCGGACGGGUGAGUAAUGCCUGGGGAUCUGCCCAGUCGAGGGGGAUAACAGUUGGAAACGGCUGCUAAUACCGCAUACGCCCUACGGGGGAAAGCAGGGGACCUUCGGGCCUUGCGCGAUUGGAUGAACCCAGGUGGGAUUAGCUAGUUGGUGGGGUAAUGGCUCACCAAGGCGACGAUCCCUAGCUGGUCUGAGAGGAUGAUCAGCCACACUGGAACUGAGACACGGUCCAGACUCCUACGGGAGGCAGCAGUGGGGAAUAUUGCACAAUGGGGGAAACCCUGAUGCAGCCAUGCCGCGUGUAUGAAGAAGGCCUUCGGGUUGUAAAGUACUUUCAGCGGGGAGGAAGGCAUUGUGGUUAAUAACCGCAGUGAUUGACGUUACCCGCAGAAGAAGCACCGGCUAACUCCGUGCCAGCAGCCGCGGUAA